rnacentral:rRNA from 1 species
AUUGAACGCUGGCGGAAUGCUUUACACAUGCAAGUCGAACGGCAGCACGGGGGCAACCCUGGUGGCGAGUGGCGAACGGGUGAGUAAUACAUCGGAACGUGCCCAGUCGUGGGGGAUAACGUAGCGAAAGCUACGCUAAUACCGCAUACGAUCUACGGAUGAAAGCGGGGGAUCGCAAGACCUCGCGCGAUUGGAGCGGCCGAUGGCAGAUUAGGUAGUUGGUGGGGUAAAGGCUCACCAAGCCGACGAUCUGUAGCUGGUCUGAGAGGACGACCAGCCACACUGGGACUGAGACACGGCCCAGACUCCUACGGGAGGCAGCAGUGGGGAAUUUUGGACAAUGGGCGCAAGCCUGAUCCAGCCAUUCCGCGUGCAGGAUGAAGGCCCUCGGGUUGUAAACUGCUUUUGUACGGAACGAAACGGCUCUCUCUAAUACAGGGGGCUAAUGACGGUACCGUAAGAAUAAGCACCGGCUAACUACGUGCCAGCAGCCGCCGUAA